UUCAUUGUGUUAUUAUAUGAUAUCAUAUAGUCAUAUAUAAUAUUUUUAUUUACAAAGUUAUAAAAAAGGUGUCAAAUUAUUUUGGUAAUAAAUUUCUUAUCUAUGUUAUUUUUGUAGACAACUUAAUUAAAUUUUAAAUUUUAAUAAAACUUUAUUAUAUUUGUUAAAGAGUUUCAAUAGUAUCUAUGUUUUUUUUUUUUUUUUUUUUUUUUUUUUUUUUUUUAUUAACAACAGAAAAUGCAUUACUUCAACAAAUGUUAGUUUUUUACAUAUUAUCAAACUAUUAGUUUACAGAGUUUGAUAAAAUAAAUAAACAAGGUUGCCACUCAACCUGGAAAGCCUAGAAUACCUGGAAAUAGCAUGAAUCCCAGGGAAAACCUGGAAUACUCAGGGAUUUUCUAAAAUCUUCAUAAAAUUCAGGGAAAAAUUUUUUUUUUUUAAUUUUGUACAAUAAUUUUUGUUUUUCAAAAAUAUUUUGCUAAUACAUAUAAUAAUAAGUUUGCUAAUUGUGGGUGUUGUUGUAAAAGUUUUAGUUUGUCAAAUAUAAAGAUUAUGUUUGAUUAAGGAAAAUAAUAAUCACGUUGAUAAACAAGAAAGAAAAUAGAAAAGUCAGGGAAAACUCGCGGAACUCAAAGAGUUCAACUCAGGGAAAAACGUUCUUUACUCAGGGAAUACUCAGGGAAAAUCUUUAAAAAUUAUAGUAGCAACCCUGAUAAAAUAAUUUCUGUAUAUUAAAAACAUAUAGAAUUUGCAAAAUAUACAGUUUUUUUCUAAUAUUGAUCUGGGCUUCUGUGAAUGUAAAUAGAAGAUGGGCUGUGAAUGUCUAGGAAAUGUCAAUGUUAUUAUGAUAGCACAUAUUUUUAGAACAAGAAUAGUGUGUUUUACAUUAUUUUCAUUAAAAGUUUAUGAAUAUAUAUGAUAAAAAACAUUUUUAAAACUACAUAUACUGUAGUGUGACAUGAUUUGGAAUAAAUAUACAUUUAAAGGAUUUUUCACAUAAACUUCAUUUGGUACCUCAAUGGCAGUUUGUUUUUAUUUUUAUUUUCAUUUAUCUGUUGAUUAGUAGGAUAAUAUGUACUAGUGAUAAUAUUUAUAUAUGGUAAAGCAUGUAUUUUAUUCAUGCAAUAUGAUUUAACUACAUAACAUAUUUCAAUACAUAACGUAUUGAAAUAUGUUAUGUUAGACUAAUCAUGAAUAUAACUAUUAUAUAUAAUAAUAUAAGUACUCUACACUUGUUUAUAAUUGUAAAUUUUCGUUGUGAAAAUAAUUUUAUUACAAAAUUUAUUGUGGUAAAAAUUACAAAUGUUUUUAAUUUUUUUCAAUGUUUAAAUUGUAACAAAUAAUUAUUUUCAAGUAAUAAUGUAACCUAAAAUGAUUAUUGUUUAAUUAGGUACAAUCAAAAUGUUAGUGAUGUUGAUUAUUUUUGCAUUUAUUAAAUUAUAUAAAAGAUAUUAAACCUUCACCAACUGAUUUAAUGGUUUGAUGUCAGAUUCCCUGGAGGAUGUCUGUUAAAAAGAAAAACUGAAGAAACUUUAAAACUAAAUGAUGCCAACUAAAGAAGUUCGAGGCUUAUCGAGGCAUAUCGAGGCUUCAGUUCUCCAGUAUUUAUUAUUAAAUUUUAUUAUAUAUGUUAUGAUUAUUUUAUUUUUUAUAUUGUUAUUUUUGUAACAACAAACUAUGUGAAUAAUUAAUUGUCCUGCCCUGGGCCUCUACUUUAAUCUGACUAUUAUUAUAACACAUAUAUCGAUUUAUAUAUUGUAUUGAGUUAGCUUGUGAUUUGUACGUGUGUUUUUGUUUGCCUAGUGUUUGUUAGUUAUAUGCAAGAUAUGGCAUGGUAUGGCACGCUGCAUGGUAUGCCCUAAAUAAUAUUAUCAAUAAAUAUUUUUAUCUAUACUUUGUAAAUAUAUAUGCUAUACUUUAUUAUAUUA